rnacentral:tRNA from 1 species
UCCCUGGUGGCUAGGUGGUAAAGAAUCCGCCUGCAAUGCAGGAGACCCCGGGUUCAAUCCCUGGGUGGGGAA